GACGAACGCUGGCGGCGUGCCUAAUACAUGCAAGUCGAACGCUUCUUUCCUCCCGAUUGCUUGCACUCAAUUGGAAAGAGGAGUUGCGGACGGGUGAGUAACACUUGGGUAACCUACCCAUCAGAGGGGGAUAACACUUGGAAACAGGUGCUAAUACCGCAUAACAGUUUAUUCCGCAUGGCAUAAGAGUGAAAGGCGCUUUCUGGUGUCGCUGAUGGAUGGACUCGCGGUGCAUUAGCUAGUUGGUGAGGUAACGGCUCACCAAGGCCACGAUGCAUAGCCGACCUGAGAGGGUGAUCGGCCACACUGGGACUGAGACACGGCCCAGACUCCUACGGGAGGCAGCAGUAGGGAAUCUUCGGCAAUGGACGAAAGUCUGACCGAGCAACGCCGCGUGAGUGAAGAAGGUUUUCGGAUCGUAAAACUCUGUUGUUAGAGAAGAACAAGGACGUUAGUAACUGAACGUCCCCUGACGGUAUCUAACCAGAAAGCCACGGCUAACUACGUG
rnacentral:rRNA from 1 species